AAAAGAAACUAACCAGGAUUCCCUCAGUAGCGGCGAGCGAAGUGGGAUCAGCCCUAAUUUAAUACCCCGGACCUUUGGUCCCUGGGAAUGUAAAUGGAUGCUCUUGGGACGUCAGUUUGGGUAAGUGGCAUGGAAAUGUCUACCGCGGAGGGUGAGAGUCCCGUCCAGCCCACUCAGGACGGACCGUACGGAGUCAUCUCGAUUGAGUCGUGUAGCUUGUGAAUGCUGCGCUAAGAUCGGUGGUAAAUCUCAUCGAAGGCUAAAUACUGGUAGGAGACCGAUAGAGAACAAGUACCGUGAGGGAAAGAUCAAAAGCACUUUGAAAAGAGGGUGAAAAGAACCUGAAACCGUUACGAGGGAAGCGUAUUGCGUUGAAUUGAUGGUUUGGACUAGUGCUCAGCGAAUUUUCGUGUAUUCACUGUCCAGCUAUUCGUUGUGCCUUUCUGGGAGGUGAAUUUGACCUUCCGGGGAGGGAGGGAUCCCCUUUAUGGGUUGAGGACGACGGAGCGACAACGCGAUGCGACCCGUCUUGAAACACGGACCAAGGAGUCUAGCACAGGUGCGAGUUGAAGGGUGAAAAAACCUGUAGGCGCAGUGAAAGCGAAUUGUUCAGAACGUGCAGUUUGUGGCGGCACUGAAUCGUUGAUUCUAAGUCCGACCAAGAGCAGUUGUGCUAGGACCCGAAAGAUGGUGAACUAUGCUUGAGUAGGGCGAAGCCAGAAGAAAUUCUGGUGGAGGCCCGAAGCGGUGCUGACGUGCAAAUCGCUCGUCGAACUCGAGUAUAGGGGCGAAAGACUAAUCGAACCAUCUAGUAGCUGGUUCCCUCCGAAGUUUCUCUCAGGAUAGCGGGCCGACUCUUAUUGUUUUGUGCGGUAAAGCGAAUGAUUAGCGCACGCAGGGGCUUAUAGUCUUUGGUCGAUUCUCAAACUUUUAAUGCGCAAGGGUACCGGUGCUUUGUUGAGCGGUACCGAUAAAAAUGUCGGCUUCGUGGGCCACUUUUGGUAAGCAGAACUGGCGAUGUGGGAUGAACCCUACGUGUGGUUAAGGCGCCAAAUUGCUCGCUUAUAGAACCCAAAAAAGGUGUUGAUUCAUCGAGACAGUAGGACGGUGGCCAUGGAAGUCGGAAUCCGCUAAGGAGUGUGUAACAACUCACCUGCCGAAUGGAUUAGCCCUGAAAAUGGAUGGCGCUUAAGCGGGUAGCCGAUACCACGCCGUUUGUUUAAUAUAUAACAGAUGAGUAGGAGGGCGUGGAGGUCGUAUCGAAGCAUGCGUGCAAACGUGUGUGGAACGGCCUCUAGUGCAGAUCUUGGUGGUAGUAGCAAAUAUUCAAGCGAGAUCCUUGAAGGGCGAAGCGGGGAAGGGUUCCACGCGAACAUUGAUUGGGCGUGGGUGAGUCGUUCCUAAGCCGGGUGGUAAUUGCUUUCUAAUCGGCGAAAGGGAAGCGGGUUGAAAUUCCCGCACACGGAUGUGGAGGCGGUGACGCUUUAAUGAGACGAGCAAGUUGGCGGUUGCACUGGGCAGAGAUUUCUUUUCUGUUUAACCAGCUCGCGCGCUGUGUGGAAUCCGCUUGUCGGGAGAAACACGCGUUCCGGGUAAGAGCGCCGGGCCUUUUCCGGCGUCCAGCUCGCGACCGACGACCCUUGAAAACUUGUCUGCUGUAAUAAAAUCCACGCCGUGGCGUACCGAUAACCGCCAUCAGGUCCCCAAGGUGAACAGCCUCUGUCUAAUAUGAAAAAUGCAGGUAAGGGAAGUCGGCAAAUUAGACCCGUAACUUCGGGAAAAGGGUUGGCUCUAGUGCUGCGUGGGAGCGGUUGUCCAUUGCCGGCCUUGUUCGGCUAGCAUGUUUGGCUGUGAGGGUACUUUGUGGCUGAGCGCGGGCUGGGCAAUGAUCGCGGUGGACGACGCCCACAGCAUGCAGCAGACUAGAACUGCAACGGUCAAAGGGAAUCCGACUGUUUAAUUAAAACAAAGCAUUGCGAUGGCCGGGGAUGGUGAUGACGCAAUGUGAUUUCUGCUCAGUGCUCUGAAUGUCAAAGUGAAGAGAUUCAAUCAAGCGCGGGUAAACAGCGGGAGUAACUAUGACUCUCUUAAGGUAGCCAAAUGCCUCGUCAUCUAAUUAGUGACGCGCAUGAAUGGAUUAACGAGAUUCCUACUGUCCCUAUCUGCUUCUAGCGAAACCACAGCCGAGGGAACGGGCUCGGCAAAACCGGCGGGGAAAGAAGACCCUGUUGAGCUUGACUCUAUUCUAAUUUUGUGAAGCAAGCUGGGAGGUGUAGCAUAGGUGGGAGACUUUGGUCAAACGUGAAAUACCACUACUCCUAGUCUUGCUUUACUUACUGGGUUAAUGUUGACGACUUUACAAGUCUGUUCUAGCUCCAAGCACACCUAGUGUGCGACAACAGCUCAGGACACAUUUAGGAGGGGAGUUUGGCUGGGGCGGUACAUCUUCUACAAGACAACGAAGGUGUCCAAAGAUAAGCUCAGUGAGAACAGAAAUCUCACGUAGAGCAAAAGGGUAAAAGCUUGUUUUAUUUUGAUUUUCAGUGCGAGUCAAAAACGCGAAAGCGUGGCCUAUCGAUCCUUUUGAUUUUCGAGAUUUGAAGCAAGAGGUGUCAGAAAAGUUACCACAGGGAUAACUGGCUUGUGGCGGCCAAGCGUUCAUAGCGACGUCGCUUUUUGAUCCU
rnacentral:rRNA from 1 species